CCCGAAAGAGAGCAAUCCGUGGACAGUGUGUAUGUCCGAAAUGGAACUGUCAUGGAGUCGCUCUCUUUCGGGCG
rnacentral:pre_miRNA from 14 species